UACGUAGGGUGCGAGCGUUAAUCGGAGUUACUGGGCGUAAAGCGUGCGCAGGCGGUUUUGUAAGCCAGAUGUGAAAGCCCCGGGCUUAACCUGGGAAUGGCAUUUGGGACUGCAAGGCUGGAGUGUGGCAGAGGAGACUGGAAUUCCUGGUGUAGCAGUGAAAUGCGUAGAUAUCAGGAGGAAUACCGAUGGCGAAGGCAGGUCUCUGGGCUGACACUGACGCUCAUGCACGAAAGCGUGGGGAGCAAACAGG
rnacentral:rRNA from 1 species